UUUAUGCAUUGUUCAAAGAAGAUGAUGAGUACAAUUUACAUCUGUUGACACUAAUGACCGGAUAGCAGCUCUAUCUCUCUAAACUGCAACAAAAUUUUCUUGAGGUUCUUCAACUCGGAGAAAAACUUAAAGAAUGAUAUGAUAUUUGAAGGUUCUUAAACCGGGAGAAAUACUUAAAGAGUGAUAUGAUAUUAGAGUGAUAUAUUGGACAAAUCCAUUUACAAACAAGUAGUUUCUGAAUUUGAAACUUACUGAUGGAAUCAGGACAUCGUUACAAAUUCAUAUCCAGAAAAGACUAUUUACCAUUUUGUUGAUCGGCAUUUAGCUGGUGUUCCGUUUA